rnacentral:misc_RNA from 1 species
GUAGGUGAACCUGCGGAAGGAUCAUUAUCGUGAAUCCAUACCAACCCUUGCGAAUCGUCUGUUCGGCGAUGGAUUCUGAUUCGUCGGAUGAUAUUGCCGAGGCCCCACAACAGGUAACUCUGUGUGGGCGCCACUAUCAACUUACUCGUCUCGAGUGUGUUUGUCUUCUAUAGCCAUACGCAAGUGUGUCUCUGAAACAAUCUAAAACUCUUAACAGUGGAUAUCUUGGCUCGC